CGGAGAUCGGCGACGGGCGAAGCGCUCGCCAAUCUGGUCAGGGCCGAGAGGCAGCAGCCACAACGAGUUAACCUUCGGGUCGGCUGUCGGUCUCCACCU
rnacentral:SRP_RNA from 1 species